rnacentral:lncRNA from 1 species
GUGCCUCAGGCCGCCGCGGGCACCCGCCUCGGCCAGGGCAACGCGCCCGGGGGGUCCCGGCGGGGCACCACCACCCGCCCCGACCCCCAGCUCCCCAAAUCCCCCUUCCCAGAGCCCAGCCCCCCCUGGGGCUCCCCGCCGAGCCGGUGCCGAGCCCCCCGCUGUGCCCCAGCCCCGCCGUGCGCCCCCUGCCCCCGCCGGCCCGGCCUCACCUCCGCGGGCGUCCCGGCCACUCCCCGCCCCCCCGCGCAGCGCCGCCGCCAUCUUAGGGCUGCGGCGGCCCCGCUACGGGCAGCGCGGAGGCUCAAACGGCGCCGCCCGGGCGCUGCCCGAGCCCCGGGCCCGGCCCCUGAGAGGGCUGCGGGGGGAUCCCGGGAGGCUGGGGCGAGGUGCUGGGGGGGGAGCGGGCACCCCCGCCGCUCCCCCGCGGUUAGAGGAGGUGGGGAUGGGGGUGCUGAGCCCCCCCCCCGCAGCCUCACGCAGGGAGAGUCGAGCAGCGGGGCGAUAGGAGGGGGAAACGCGCCCUGCCCGGCACACAGGCACAAAAUGGAAGGCGGGGGGGGGGGAGGCAGCCGGACACACGCCCAGCCUGCUCGGGGCACGCAAGAGGGAACGCAGAUCCUGGACGGACUCGUUCCUCCCAAGCUAAAAGGCUUGUUUUACACAAAAUGCCAGCCGUGUUUCAUGCACAGCCCGCCUUGGCAAGCGCAGCCAGGGAUACACUUCAAGCAACUACUGGUUGAGCUUCCUAGAUGACACUUUAUUUGAAACGUAUAAAACAAUGAAUUUAAAGUGAGAAUAAAGGAGCAGGAACCUGAACA